ensembl:misc_RNA Metazoa_SRP Metazoan signal recognition particle RNA
GCUGGGCUUGUUGGCACAGGCCUGUAAUCCCAGCUACUGAGGAGGCUGAGGCAGGAGAAUUGCUUGAAACCGGGGAUGCGGAGGUUGCAGUGAGCUGAGAUCGUGCCACUGCACUCCAGCCUGGGCGACAGAGCAAGAUUCCGUCUCAA